UGCUGUAUUACGUUAUCCAAAGCUGACCCUCCCAAUCCAAAACUCAUUCCAGUGCUGCUGUUCUUAUUGACAGCUGCCUCGUUGAAUACACAGCCAAUAGGAACGCUCUCUCUCUGAAAUGACCGGUGAUUGGCCAAAGUCUCACGGGCUAGAUUUCCUAAAGCUUGAAAACAGAGCCAUGAGGAGGAGCAGAAGUCUAGUUUUCUCUCAGAAUACUUGAAUUACAAUAUGCUGGAAGGUCAUUAUGGAAUUUUUGCCCAUUAAUGCAAAAAUAUUCUGCCUACUGCUGCUUAAACCUUCCAUUAUGAUAUGUUGGCAGAUUGAGGGUGACGGGAGCAAUCAGCAGCAAAGAACAUGAAAACAACAUAAGUUAUCAGGCUAAGCUCAGAGUGGUUACAGUGGGGAGAGAAUCGUGCUUAAACAGACAGGACCAGACUAUUUGGAGGGGCCUAUAUAAACAGGCCAUGCUGUGUUGCACUUGAGCUGCAGGAAACGUGAU